rnacentral:rRNA from 1 species
ACGCUGGCGGCAGGCCUAACACAUGCAAGUCGAGCGCGCCUUUCGGGGUGAGCGGCGGACGGGUUAGUAACGCGUGGGAACGUACCCUUUUCUGCGGAAUAGCCUCUGGAAACGGAGAGUAAUACCGCAUACGCCCUUCGGGGGAAAGAUUUAUCGGAGAAGGAUCGGCCCGCGUUAGAUUAGAUAGUUGGUGGGGUAACGGCUUACCAAGUCUACGAUCUAUAGCUGGUUUUAGAGGAUGAUCAGCAACACUGGGACUGAGACACGGCCCAGACUCCUACGGGAGGCAGCAGUGGGGAAUCUUGGACAAUGGGCGCAAGCCUGAUCCAGCCAUGCCGCGUGAGUGAAGAAGGCCUUAGGGUCGUAAAGCUCUUUCGCCUGUGAUGAUAAUGACAGUAGCAGGUAAAGAAACCCCGGCUAACUCCGUGCCAGCAGCCGCGGUAAUACGGAGGGGGUUAGCGUUGUUCGGAAUUACUGGGCGUAAAGCGCGCGUAGGCGGAUUGGAAAGUUGGGGGUGAAAUCCCGAGGCUCAACCUCGGAACUGCCUCCAAAACUCCCAGUCUAGAGUUCGAGAGAGGUGAGUGGAAUUCCAAGUGUAGAGGUGAAAUUCGUAGAUAUUUGGAGGAACACCAGUGGCGAAGGCGGCUCACUGGCUCGAUACUGACGCUGAGGUGCGAAAGUGUGGGGAGCAAACAGGAUUAGAUACCCUGGUAGUCCACACCGUAAACGAUGAAUGCCAGUCGUCGGGCAGUAUACUGUUCGGUGACACACCUAACGGAUUAAGCAUUCCGCCUGGGGAGUACG